ACCUGGACAUCACCGAUUCAGCCAUGGUUGCUGACCUUUAAGGACCAGGCAUCCUCCUGUGUCUACCCUCCAAGCUAAGAUUCCAGUUGUACACCACCACACCUGGCAUCUUCGUGUGAUAUCUUUUUAUAUUACCUCCUUUUAAAGAAGAAUUUUCUUCAAAAAGCUGUUGCUAAAAUAAUGUCACCUUUAAAUCAAGGCUAUAAGGUCACCAAGCUCAAUGUUCAUUAACUGAACUGACCACAGGAUCUGAAGAACUGAGAUGUCCUCAGUGGGAGGUCUCCCUGCAGAGGCCCUUUGAUAAGAGUGGCAGCACUCUGGGCCUUUGAUCCCUUCCACAUGGAAACUGCACUGGAGAACAACUGGGUAUAUAGGCACUCCAGCUCUACAAGCCCAGAAUGGCGAGCCAUCCUCUAGCAGACAGCAUUUAAAUGGAACAUUCCAGUGAUGGAUUCGAGUGUUAAUAAUUGAUAUUCUCGUACGCAUAUCCAUUCAUCCACUCAAUGACUCUUUGAUUAUGUAGCAGAAUCAAAAAGCUUCAAUAUGAGAAAAGAACUUAUAUAUGACUUAUUGUACUGUCUGUUUGAAGGAGAUUCAAGGAAGUUAAAUGAAAUUUUUAUUUCCACAUUGAGGAGAAUAUAAACAAAACAAACUAACACAUCCUGCCAGGCUGUUGGAAAGAGAAUGAACAGAACUUCGCUUCUCUCUAGGAUCUCAAAGGGCUCAGGGAAAAUGAAAUGUGUGCAGAGAUGGCUGGGAAGUGAGAGACAGGCACUUGGCAUAGUUAUGGAGGUUU